UGUAUAUACUUCUCUAAAUGUGUUGUUCUCUUGAAAUGACUCACUCUUCCAUGUUUUUUUUCAAGCCCAUUUAUCCGCUCGGCGCUUGGCUCUUCUCUUGUGAAGCAUGCAGAAAUGUGCCACUUCAAGGAAGGGAGGCCUUAUCUGCCACAGAACAUUCCAGAUCUUUACAGAGUUCUCAUACCUUGAGCAUUUCUAGGCAAGACAAGGCAAGACUACACAGGGUCGGGCACUCAAAAGACAUCGCAGAACACCUCUUUACAGGAAGAAGACUGCAUAUUUCUCCUCUUAAGGGCAAAUGUUGAGAACCGUGAGGCACGCUCAGGUUUGUUCGCUGCAGGAGUCUUCAUCAAAGGGCUUGUGGGAGUGGAUACUGAGGCCAGAGCAGGUGUCUGGGUGUGGAUGUCCACCUGUGUAACUGGAGGUUGUGUCGUCUUUAAUUUAUGAAGCCUGACAAUGCUGGAGGGGAUAGAGUUGGUUUUCAGGGGUGUAUGAGGAUGUUAAACUCAGCAAGAAUGUACAGUGGUGGUUUCAGAUGGUAAUACCAUGGUAUUUUUGAUUUGUACCAUGGUAUUUAAUGAUUAAAAUAUUCAUGUAGCAUGUUUACAUAUUACUGCAAGAAUACCAUCCAAAAAACAAGCUAUUGUGGCCAAAAAAUUAAGAAUACUUGGUAACAUUUUAGUAAAGGGACCAAUUCUCAGUUGCUUAUUAGCAUGCCUAUUAUUAACAUAUUGGCUGUUUAUUAGUACUAAUUGUCACAAACGGGUCAGAAACAAACAGGUAAGUGAUACAACAGGAUGGUUUAUUGACAGGUAAUGCUGAUCGUGUGGAGAGAAAGGCAGGUGAGUAUCUUGACACUUUGCACAAUACUUAGUCUUAGCUGGGAACUGAAGUGAGUCUCUUUCACAGGAUCGAUGGAGGUCGGGAACCAGAGAUGACUGGAUACUUCGCUGGAGGAUCGCAGGAGAAACGUUGGAGAACUAUAAGGACACUCACUCCCCAGAGAUGGUUUUCUUGCGUGAGCAGCAGCAGAAGCAGGCAAGCGCCGCCAGCAACAGCAGCAGCAGGAGGGGGAUACCAAUGCCCAGGACCAGCCCCAAAAUGAAUGACUUCUUAUCCUCCGCAGUCUGAGCAACCGUCAGGUCUGUGCGGUUAACACUGUUCCAGUC